rfam:Candida glabrata strain CBS138 chromosome F complete sequence.
GCGGUUUUAGCUCAGUUGGGAGAGCGCCAGACUGAAGAUUCGAAAACUUCGGUCAACAAGUUAUCUGGAGGUCCUGUGUUCGAUCCACAGAAAUCGCA